rnacentral:rRNA from 1 species
UACGUAGGGACCAAGCGUUGUUCGGAUUUACUGGGCGUAAAGGGCGCGUAGGCGGCGUGACAAGUCACUUGUGAAAUCUCCGGGCUUAACUCGGAACGGUCAAGUGAUACUGUUGUGCUAGAGUACAGAAGGGGCAAUCGGAAUUCUUGGUGUAGCGGUGAAAUGCGUAGAUAUCGGGAGGAACACCAGUGGCGAAGGCGGCUAUCUGGGUUGCAACUGACGCUGAGGCGCGAAGGCUAGGGGAGCGAACAGG